GGGGGGGGGGGGGGGGGGGGGGGGGGGGGGGGGGGGGGGGGGGGGGGGGGGGGGGGGGGGGGGGGGGGGGGGGGGGCCGGGCACCUCCACCUCGGCCAGGGCUCCCCGUCCUUCCCCUGCCGGCCGAGAGCGCCCUGACACACAGCGGGCAGCAUGCCUGAGCCUGGCUAAACCUCAUCAGUAGUCCUGUGAGGGCAGGAAAAAAAUGUCACUUUUCAGAUGGAUAAUAUGGAAGAUGAUGAAGGAUGAAUGGAACAGCCCACGCAUUGCCCUGGCCUUCUUAAGCAUUACAGCAGAAAAAUAUUAACAGAAGUGAUAUGUUCAGCGGGGCAGGAGAGGACAAAAGGAGACAAGCUGGGCCUGGAGCUAGAGCUGAAAAUAAUUCUAAGUACCUUGAUGUUGGCUGAGACACUCAGUUCUUUGGCAUCCAAGAUUUUGUAUAUGAAGUCUGACAAAGUACAUUUUUUUCCUGAUUCCCAGUUCCCCAUACAGACACAAAAAGAACAGAAGGGAAGCGAAAGAGUUUAAAAAAGAGAGAAAAAAAAUGAAAUCCAACCUUUCCCGCUCCCUCAAAUGGACCAGCAGCCUAUAAACCAACUAGUUCUUCCUAUUCCCAGAAGUGGCUUCCACAGAAACAUUUUCUUUUACUAUGCAUCCACUGUAGAGUUUCUUUUCUGCUUGGCUGGGCAAUCAGGUAUUCAGAGCAUAAUGUAAAUGCUCAGAACACAGAGGCAUGAAAACUUGCCAGACAGAAACUCCAAGGGAAGGAUUAACAUUCCCCCCCCCUAGUCCCCCGCCGGGGGGGGGG
rnacentral:lncRNA from 1 species